rnacentral:ncRNA from 1 species
CUCUUAUCCCGAGCUGGCGGAGGGACAGGCCCAAUGAAGCCCAGCAACCGGUUUCUCUUCAUCAUCACAGUUUUCGAGACAACUACGGUGCUAACCUGAUGCAAGGUUUUGACAUACCUUGAGCGAUAAGAG